CUCAGGAUGAACGCUAGCGACAGGCCUAACACAUGCAAGUCGAGGGGCAUCGGGGCGAGGAGCAAUCCUUGCCGCCGGCGACCGGCGCACGGGUGAGUAACGCGUAUGCGACCUGCCCGUUGCAGGGGGAUAAUCGGGAGAAAUCCCGUCUAAUACCGCGUAAUGCCGCGGGGCUGCAUGGCCCUGCGGCCAAAGGGAGCGAUUCCGGCAACGGAUGGGCAUGCGUGACAUUAGCUAGUUGGCGGGGCAACGGCCCACCAAGGCGACGAUGUCUAGGGGUUCUGAGAGGAAGGUCCCCCACACUGGUACUGAGACACGGACCAGACUCCUACGGGAGGCAGCAGUGAGGAAUAUUGGUCAAUGGGCGCGAGCCUGAACCAGCCAAGUCGCGUGAGGGAUGACGGCCCUACGGGUUGUAAACCUCUUUUGUCGGGGAGCAAAUUCCGCCACGUGUGGCGGAGUCGAGAGUACCCGAAGAAAAAGCAUCGGCUAACUCCGUGCCAGCAGCCGCGGUAAUACGGAGGAUGCGAGCGUUAUCCGGAUUUAUUGGGUUUAAAGGGUGCGUAGGCGGACUGUCAAGUCAGCGGUAAAAUACGGGGGCUCAACCUCCGCCCGCCGUUGAAACUGACGGUCUUGAGUGGGCGAGAAGUAUGCGGAAUGCGUGGUGUAGCGGUGAAAUGCAUAGAUAUCACGCAGAACUCCGAUUGCGAAGGCAGCAUACCGGCGCCCGACUGACGCUGAAGCACGAAAGCGUGGGUAUCGAACAGGAUUAGAUACCCUGGUAGUCCACGCAGUAAACGAUGAAUACUAGCUGUCCGGGGCGAAUGAGCCCUGGGUGGCACAGCGAAAGCGUUAAGUAUUCCACCUGGGGAGUACGCCGGCAACGGUGAAACUCAAAGGAAUUGACGGGGGCCCGCACAAGCGGAGGAACAUGUGGUUUAAUUCGAUGAUACGCGAGGAACCUUACCCGGGCUCAAACGACACAGGAACGUACCUGAAAGGGUUCGGCUCUACGGAGCCUGUGUCGAGGUGCUGCAUGGUUGUCGUCAGCUCGUGCCGUGAGGUGUCGGCUUAAGUGCCAUAACGAGCGCAACCCCCAUCGACAGUUGCUAACAGGUCAGGCUGAGGACUCUGUCGAGACUGCCGGCGCAAGCUGCGAGGAAGGCGGGGAUGACGUCAAAUCAGCACGGCCCUUACGUCCGGGGCGACACACGUGUUACAAUGGCAGGUACAGCGGGAAGCCACCUGGCGACAGGGAGCGGAACCCGAAAGCCUGUCUCAGUUCGGAUUGGAGUCUGCAACCCGACUCCAUGAAGCUGGAUUCGCUAGUAAUCGCGCAUCAGCCACGGCGCGGUGAAUACGUUCCCGGGCCUUGUACACACCGCCCGUCAAGCCAUGGAAGCCGGGGGUGCCUGAAGUGCGCUGCCGCGAGGAGCGCCCUAGGGUAAAACCGGUGACUGGGGCUAAGUCGUAACAAGGUA
rnacentral:rRNA from 1 species